GACGAACGCUGGCGGCGUGCUUAACACAUGCAAGUCGAACGGAAAGGCCCUGCUUUUGUGGGGUGCUCGAGUGGCGAACGGGUGAGUAACACGUGAGUAACCUGCCCUUGACUUUGGGAUAACUUCAGGAAACUGGGGCUAAUACCGGAUAGGAGCUCCUGCUGCAUGGUGGGGGUUGGAAAGUUUCGGCGGUUGGGGAUGGACUCGCGGCUUAUCAGCUUGUUGGUGGGGUAGUGGCUUACCAAGGCUUUGACGGGUAGCCGGCCUGAGAGGGUGACCGGCCACAUUGGGACUGAGAUACGGCCCAGACUCCUACGGGAGGCAGCAGUGGGGAAUAUUGCACAAUGGGCGGAAGCCUGAUGCAGCAACGCCGCGUGCGGGAUGACGGCCUUCGGGUUGUAAACCGCUUUCGCCUGUGACGAAGCGUGAGUGACGGUAAUGGGUAAAGAAGCACCGGCUAACUACGUGCCAGCAGCCGCGGUGAUACGUAGGGUGCGAGCGUUGUCCGGAUUUAUUGGGCGUAAAGGGCUCGUAGGUGGUUGAUCGCGUCGGAAGUGUAAUCUUGGGGCUUAACCCUGAGCGUGCUUUCGAUACGGGUUGACUUGAGGAAGGUAGGGGAGUAUGGAAUUCCUGGUGGAGCGGUGGAAUGCGCAGAUAUCAGGAGGAACACCAGUGGCGAAGGCGGUUCCCUGGGCCUUUCCUGACGCUGAGGAGCGAAAGCGUGGGGAGCGAACAGGCUUAGAUACCCUGGUAGUCCACGCUGUAAACGGUGGGUACUAGGUGUGGGGUCCAUUCCACGGGUUCCGUGCCGUAGCUAACGCUUUAAGUACCCCGCCUGGGGAGUACGGCCGCAAGGCUAAAACUCAAAGGAAUUGACGGGGCCCCGCACAAGCGGCGGAGCAUGCGGAUUAAUUCGAUGCAACGCGUAGAACCUUACCUGGGUUUGACAUGGAUCGGGAGUGCUCAGAGAUGGGUGUGCCUCUUUUGGGGUCGGUUCACAGGUGGUGCAUGGCUGUCGUCAGCUCGUGUCGUGAGAUGUUGGGUUAAGUCCCGCAACGAGCGCAACCCUUGUUCACUGUUGCCAGCACGUUAUGGUGGGGACUCAGUGGAGACCGCCGGGGUCAACUCGGAGGAAGGUGGGGAUGACGUCAAGUCAUCAUGCCCCUUAUGUCCAGGGCUUCACGCAUGCUACAAUGGCUGGUACAGAGAGUGGCGAGCCUGUGAGGGUGAGCGAAUCUCGGAAAGCCGGUCUCAGUUCGGAUUGGGGUCUGCAACUCGACCUCAUGAAGUCGGAGUCGCUAGUAAUCGCAGAUCAGCAACGCUGCGGUGAAUACGUUCCCGGG
rnacentral:rRNA from 1 species